UUAGACUGCGGAAGAUACUGCUGGGCUAGAGGACGGGAGAGGUCGACGGUAGUCCUGGGGUAGGGGUGAAAUCCUAUAAUCCCAGGAGGACCACCAGUGGCGAAGGCGGUCGACUAGAACGUGCCUGACGGUGAGGGACGAAAGCUGGGGGAGCGAACCGGAUUAGACACCCGGGUAGUCCCAGCUGUAAACGAUGCGGGCUAGGUGUUGGAACAGCCAUGAGCUGCUCCAGUGCCGCAGAGAAGUUGUUAAGCCCGCCGCCUGGGAAGUACGGCCGCAAGGCUGAAACUUAAAGGAAUUGGCGGGGGAGCACCACAAGGGGUGAAGGCUGCGGUUCAAUUGGAGUCAAUGCCGGGAAACUUACCGGGGCUGACAGCAGAGUGAAAGUCAGACUAAAGGUCUUACUAGACAAGCUGAGAGGAGGCGCAUGGCCGUCGCCAGUUCGUGCCGUGAGGUGUCCUGUUAAGUCAGGCAACGAACGAGACCCCCAUCACUAGUUGCCAGCGAAUCUCAAUGAGAUGCCGGGCACACUAGUGGAACUGCCGCCGACAA
rnacentral:rRNA from 1 species